GAGCCUACGGGACGCAGCAGUGGGGGAUAUUGCACAAUGGGGGGAACCCUGAUGCAGCGACGCCGCGUGGGUGAAGAAGCGCCUCGGCGCGUAAAGCCCUGUCAGCAGGGAAGAAAAUGACGGUACCUGAAGAAGAAGCCCCGGCUAACUACGUGCCAGCAGCCGCAGUAAUACGCAGGGGGCACGCGUUAUCCGGAUUUACUGGGUGUAAAGGGGGCGCAGACGGCGAUGCAAGCCCGGAGUGAAAGCCCUGGGUCCAACCCCAGGACUGCUCUUGGAACUACGUGGCUGGAGUGCAGCAGGGG
rnacentral:rRNA from 1 species